rnacentral:rRNA from 1 species
UAUUUUAAUUUUGUGCCCGCAGCCGCGGUAAUACGUAGGGGGCAAGCGUUAUCCGGAAUUACUGGGUGUAAAGGGUGCGUAGGUGGUAUGGCAAGUCAGAAGUGAAAACCCAGGGCUUAACUCUGGGACUGCUUUUGAAACUGUCAGACUGGAGUGCAGGAGAGGUAAGCGGAAUUCCUAGUGUAGCGGUGAAAUGCGUAGAUAUUAGGAGGAACAUCAGUGGCGAAGGCGGCUUACUGGACUGAAACUGACACUGAGGCACGAAAGCGUGGGGAGCAAACAGG